rnacentral:rRNA from 1 species
GGGGGGGGGGGGGGGGGGGGGGGGGGGGGGGGGGGGGGGGGGGGGGGGGCGGCGUGGGGGGGGGGCGGGGGGGGCGAAGGGGGGAGUGACACGGGAGUGACCUGCGCUUGACGUGGGGAUGACUUCAGGGAACUGGGGCUAAUACCGGGGAGGGGCUCCUGCUGGAGUGGGGGGGGUGGAGCGUUUCGGCGGGUGGGGAUGGACUCGCGGCUUAUCAGCUUGUUGGUGGGGUAGUUGCUUACCAAGGCUUUGACUGGUAGCCGGCCUGAGAGGGUGCCCGGCCCCAUUGGGACUGAGAUACGGCCCAGACUCCUACGGGAGGCAGCAGUGGGGAAUAUUGCACAAUGGGCGGAAGCCUGAUGCAGCAACGCCGCGUGCGGGAUGACGGCCUUCGGGUUGUAAACCGCUUUCGCCUGUGACGAAGCGUGAGUGACGGUAAUGGGUAAAGAAGCACCGGCUAACUACGUG